UACGGAGGGGGCUAGCGUUGUUCGGAAUUACUGGGCGUAAAGCGCACGUAGGCGGCUUUUGUAAGUUAGAGGUGAAAGCCCAGGGCUUAACCCUGGAAUUGCCUUUAAGACUGCAUCGCUAGAAUCGUGGAGAGGUGAGUGGAAUUCCGAGUGUAGAGGUGAAAUUCGUAGAUAUUCGGAAGAACACCAGUGGCGAAGGCGACUCACUGGACACGUAUUGACGCUGAGGUGCGAAAGCGUGGGGAGCAAAC
rnacentral:rRNA from 1 species